GAUGAACGCUGGCGGCGUGCCUAAUACAUGCAAGUCGAGCGAACAGACGAGGAGCUUGCUCCUCUGACGUUAGCGGCGGACGGGUGAGUAACACGUGGAUAACCUACCUAUAAGACUGGGAUAACUUCGGGAAACCGGAGCUAAUACCGGAUAAUAUAUUGAACCGCAUGGUUCAAUAGUGAAAGACGGUUUUGCUGUCACUUAUAGAUGGAUCCGCGCCGCAUUAGCUAGUUGGUAAGGUAACGGCUUACCAAGGCAACGAUGCGUAGCCGACCUGAUAGGGUGAUAGGGCACACUGGAACUUAGACACCGUCCAGAGUCCUUCAGGAGGCAACAGGAGGGUAUCUUUCGGAAUGGGCGGAAGCCUUACAGUACGACCGCGCGGGUGUUGAGAAAGGGCUUCGAUCGUAAAACCCUAGUAUUAGGGAAGAACAAAUGUGUAAGUAACUAUGCACGUAUUGACGGUACCUAAUCAGAAAGCCACGGCUAACUACGUG
rnacentral:rRNA from 1 species